rnacentral:tRNA from 1 species
CCUUCGAUAGCUCAGUUGGUAGAGCGGAGGACUGUAGAUGCAUAAUGCUGAAAUCCUUAGGUCGCUGGUUCGAAUCCGGCUCGAAGGA